rnacentral:tRNA from 1 species
AAAAGAUUAGUUAAAGUAUAACAUUAGGUUGUCAAUCUAAAAUUACUAAUUUAUAGUAUCUUUUG